rnacentral:rRNA from 1 species
CCUACGGGUGGCAGCAGUGGGGAAUAUUGCACAAUGGGCGCAAGCCUGAUGCAGCCAUGCCGCGUGUGUGAAGAAGGCCUUCGGGUUGUAAAGCACUUUCAGCGGGGAGGAAGGCGGCGAGGUUAAUAACCUCAUCGAUUGACGUUACCCGCAGAAGAAGCACCGGCUAACUCCGUGCCAGCAGCCGCGGUAAUACGGAGGGUGCAAGCGUUAAUCGGAAUUACUGGGCGUAAAGCGCACGCAGGCGGUCUGUCAAGUCGGAUGUGAAAUCCCCGGGCUCAACCUGGGAACUGCAUUCGAAACUGGCAGGCUAGAGUCUUAUAGAGGGGGGUAGAAUUCCAGGUGUAGCGGUGAAAUGCGUAGAGAUCUGGAGGAAUACCGGUGGCGAAGGCGGCCCCCUGGACAAAGACUGACGCUCAGGUGCGAAAGCGUGGGGAGCAAACAGGAUUAGAUACCCUUGUAGUC